rnacentral:rRNA from 1 species
CAAUGGGCGAAAGCCUGAUGCAGCAACGCCGCGUGAGUGAUGAAGGCCUUCGGGUUGUAAAGCUCUGUCUUUUGGGACGAUAAUGACGGUACCAAAGGAGGAAGCCACGGCUAACUACGUGCCAGCAGCCGCGGUAAUACGUAGGUGGCAAGCGUUGUCCGGAUUUACUGGGCGUAAAGGAUGCGUAGGUGGAUAUUUAAGUGGGAUGUGAAAUACCCGGGCUCAACUUGGGUGCUGCAUUCCAAACUGGAUAUCUAGAGUGCAGGAGAGGUAAGUGGAAUUCCUAGUGUAGCGGUGAAAUGCGUAGAGAUUAGGAAGAACACCAGUGGCGAAGGCGACUUACUGGACUGUAACUGACACUGAGGCAUGAAAGCGUGGGGAGCAAACAGGAUUAGAUACCCUGGUAGUCCACGCCGUAAACGAUGGGUACUAGGUGUAGGAGGGUCCAACCUUCUGUGCCGCCGUUAACACAAUAAGUACCCCGCCUGGGGAGUACGGUCGCAAGAUUA